AAUUGUCUGAGGUUGGUGAAGGCUAUGCCACUAUAUGUGGGUGCAGAAUGAUGAAAAGAAUCCAGCAGGAUAUGGGUCACCGUGUCCAGUGGAGCAGAGUGUAGUCAUCCAUGCAUCGUGUAGACUUUGUUGGUGUACUCUUAAAAAUGAAAAGGAUAGAGUGUGUUGCAAGAAGGACGUAAUCUGUGCAAGGUCCUCUGCACUUGGUGCAUAUCGACACAAACCAUAAGCUCAUCAGAUAUGGCCUUGUUAUUUUUGGAGCGACUGAUGAGUUUUCAGGAAAGAUCAUGUACCUGGGCAUUGCAACCAAUAAUAAAGCAUCCACUGCACUUGAUAUCUGCUCGGAGGCAGUGCAGAAGAAUGGCUUUCAAUUAAGAUAAGACUAAAAAAGUGUGAGGUGACAAAGGAGUGGAAAACGUUGGCAUAGCACAAUGCAUGUUCACCAUAAGGGGUUGUGGAAGGGGGAGUUUCCUAUCAGGAUAGAGUAUACACAACCAAAGGUAUGAUUUAUUUAUGUACUAUGAAGUGGUCACACAUCCAGAGGCCUCGAGACCAAUUAAAAGGUCUGCACACUCCCUCGGUAUCUCUGGUCUCUUAACAUUUACACAAGAUCAUGUGACUAGUAUGUGACCAGCAUUCAGGUU